rnacentral:rRNA from 1 species
CAAAGGAAUUGACGGGGCCCGCACGAAGCGGUGGAGCAUGUGGUUAAUUCGAUGCAACGCGAAGAACUUACCUAGGCUUGACAUCCCUGGAAUUUUGUGGAAACACAAAAGUGCCUUUCGGGAACUCAGACACAGGUGCUGCAUGGCUGUCGUCAGCUCGUGUCGUGAGGUGUUCGGUUAAGUCCGGCAACGAGCGCAACCCGUAUCGUCAGUUACCAUCGGGUCAUGCCGGGGACUCUGGCGAGACUGCCCGUGUCAAGCGGGAGGAAGGCGCGGAUGACGUCAAGUCAGUAUGGCUCUUACGCCCAGGGCUGCACACGUGCUACAAUGGCCGGUACAGUGGGAAGCGACACCGCGAGGUGGAGCCAAUCCCCAAAACCGGCCCCAGUUCAGAUUGCAGUCUGCAACUCGACUGCAUGAAGUCGGAAUCGCUAGUAAAGGCGUAUCAGCAACGACGCCUUGAAUACGUUCCCGGGCCUU